rnacentral:rRNA from 1 species
CCUACGGGGGGCAGCAGUGGGGAAUAUUGGGCAAUGGGCGCAAGCCUGACCCAGCAACGUCGCGUGAAGGAAGACGGCUUUCGGGUUGUAAACUUCUUUUCUCAGGGACGAAGAAAGUGACGGUACUUGCGGAAUAAGCCACGGCUAACUACGUGCCAGCAGCCGCGGUAAUACGGAGGUGGCAAGCGUUAUCCGGAUUUCUUGGGUGUAACGGGCGUGUAGGCGGGAGCGCAAGUCAGAUGUGAAAACUCAGGGCUCAACCCUGGGCCUGCAUUUGAAACUGUGUUUCUUGAGUGCGGGGGAGGCAAGCGGAAUGCCGUGUGUAGCGGUGAAAUGCGUAGAUAGACGGAGGAACACCAAUGGCGAAGGCGGAUUGCUGGACAGUAACUGACGCUGAGGCGCGAAAGCGUGGGGAGCAAACAGGAUUAGAUACCCGUGUAGUC